CAAGUCGAGCGAUGAGAUCCCUUCGGGGAAGGAUUAGCGGCGAACGGGUGAGGAACACGUGAGGAAUCUGCCUUCAACACUGGGAUAACUCCGGGAAACCGGGGCUAAUACCGGAUACGAGGCCUGCAGGCAUCUGCGGGUCUGGAAAGUUUUUCGGUUGAAGAUGACCUCGCGGCCUAUCAGCUUGUUGGUGAGGUAAUGGCUCACCAAGGCGACGACGGGUAGCCGGCCUGAGAGGGCGACCGGCCACACUGGGACUGAGACACGGCCCAGACUCC
rnacentral:rRNA from 2 species